rnacentral:rRNA from 1 species
AUUGAACGCUGGCGGCAGGCCUAACACAUGCAAGUCGAACGAGUGGCGGACGGGUGAGUAAUGUCUGGGAAACUGCCUGAUGGAGGGGGAUAACUACUGGAAACGGUAGCUAAUACCGCAUACCAUCGGAUGUGCCCAGAUGGGAUUAGCUAGUAGGUGGGGUAAAGGCUCACCUAGGCGACGAUCCCUAGCUGGUCUGAGAGGAUGACCAGCCACACUGGAACGGAGACACGGUCCGGACUCCUACGGGAGGCAGCAGGGGGGAAUAUUGCACAAUGGGCGCAAGCCUGAUGCAGCCAUGCCGCGUGUAUGAAGAAGGCCUUCGGGUUGUAAAGUACUUUCAGCGGGGAGGCGUUACCCGCAGAAGAAGCACCGGCUAACUCCGUGCCAGCAGCCGCGGUAAUUC